rnacentral:lncRNA from 1 species
UACCUUGCUCGAGGCUACAACAGCUGGAGGUGGGAUUCAGAGCAAACCUCCAAGGCAUUCUGUGAACGCAUAUGUGCACUGUGUGUCCAGGGGCGUCUCACACACACAUGCACACAAUGCAUUGUACGUUGUUACACACACACAGUGCAAUGGACCUACAACGAUACACACACACACAGAGAGAGGCGGUUCAGCCGAUCAGAGCUCAAUGAUGUCCACGUCAGUCGGGCUGUGGGCCGGUCGUGGAGACCCACUCAGUGUGUGUGUGUGAGAGAGACAGAGAGAGAGAGACGGGGGGAGCGGAACGUCUCCGUGCGCUCAGUGCUGAGGGGGAGAACCCUGAAGAACACACACACACACACACACACACACACACUCGCGCAUACACACACUCUCUCUCUCACACGCGCAGGCCGCUUUCGGGGACGUCCGCACGAGAAGAAGCGCGAGGACUACAAGCGCGCGGAAGGACGCAGAAGAAGAAGAAGUGAGCGAGUGAACUGCUGCGGAAAGUUCGCGGGCGGACGCGCCGCUCAUUCAUUGCUGGACGGAGGAGAGACGACUGGUGGUGGUGGUGGUGCACAGGGAGGGACACAGGAGCAUACAGGUAGGGACAGUACGCCGAGGAAGUGCAGGUAGGUCCACGCC